rnacentral:lncRNA from 10 species
CUUUUCCUUUCAGCCUUUCCUCCCUCAUUACUAAGCAGAAGGUAGAGAGGAUUGGUGGAAUGUGCCAAUAUGAAGAAGUGAAAUAAAAACAGGUGGCUGAGUUUUGUGCACCAUUUCUACUGUUCUGGAGCCAAGAACUGAAAACAGCCUAGAUGUCCUUCAGUGGGUGAAUUGGUAGAAGUGGAAUACGACUCAGCAAUAAAAAGGAACAAACUAUUUGAUACAUGCUACAACUGGAUGAAUCUCCAGAGAAGUAAGCUGAGUGAAAAAGGCCAAUCUCAAAAGGUUACACACGGUAGGAUUUCAUUUAUAUAGCAUUUUUGAAAUGAUGCAAUUUUAGAAAUGGAGAAUGGAUUAUUGGCUGCCAGACGUUAGAAGUUUGGGGAAAAGGGGUGGGAGAGAGGUGGAUGGGUUUAUCCAGGAACAACAAAGGGGAUCCUUGUGAUAAUGGAACUGUUCUAUAUCUUGACUGUAGUGGUGAAUACACAAACCUACACCUACCUAUAAAAUCAUAUAGAACUAAGUACACACACCCACAGAAAUGCAUACAAGUAAAACUGUGGAUAUCUGACCAAGAUGGGUAGAUUGUAUCAAUGUCAGUAUCUUGUGAAAUUGUAUUAUAAUUGCAAGAUGUUGCCAUUGGAGGAAACAGAGUAAAGAAUACAUGAAAUUUAUCUGUAUUAUUUCUCAGAAUUGCAUGUGAAUUCAUGCAUAAAAUUUAAUUUUUAAAAAUCAAAUGCAUUUUGCUCAAUUGGGAGUACUUAAAAUACAGCAAAUGGGUGACAACCUCUUGGAAUUAUAACACAAGACCUUCCUGCUAAAAUAAAAUGGUAACACUAU